AUCUAUUAGAUUGCUUCCAAGGAGACUUUUCAAAAAGCAAUGAAAAAGAAUGGGAGAGAGCUCAGAGACCAUUGAUAGAAACUUUUAUAUAAUACCAGAGAAUUUCCGCUGAAGUUUAUUGCAAACUAAACAUAAAUGUCUAUAAUAUAUUUAGGUACACUAACUAGUUAAACACAUUUAUUUGACUGACAUCCUUGUAAUUGUGUUGCAGUAAAGAUGAAGAAUAAAAGAAAAAAAAACAAUGCAAUUAAAAAGAAAUCAGAGGAGAAAAUAAAGAGAAUCACACUUCUUCAGAAUUUCAAUCCAGAUAAAGACGUCUUAAGUGAAAGCAAACUCAUUCUCUCUUCAGAUGACCAGGUAAGUCACUAAUUAUAAUUUGUAAUUUAUUUUUUCUUAUAUUGCUGCAUUUAUAUAUAUAUAUAA
rnacentral:sRNA from 1 species